rnacentral:rRNA from 1 species
UACGUAGGUGGCUAGCGUUGUCCGGAUUUACUGGGCGUAAAGAGCGCGCAGGCGGUCGUUCAAGUCGAGUGUGAAAGCCCCCGGCUCAACUGGGGAGGGUCACUCGAUACUGAUCGACUCGAAGGCAGGAGAGGGAAGCGGAAUUCCCGGUGUAGUGGUGAAAUGCGUAGAUAUCGGGAGGAACACCUGUGGCGAAAGCGGCGCACUGGACCACAUCUGACGCUGAGGCGCGAAAGCUAGGGGAGCAAACAGG